AUGGAAGAGAAUGGGAGUAACAUUACAACUGACCAACUUAAAGAUUAUGUAUGGAAGACACUGAAGACUGGAAAGGUUGUAGUGAUUAGAGAGAAGCUUGCAGGACUUUAUGAAUCUGAACAACAAUGGUUGAGAGCAACACAAAUGCUUAGUGGCAUUGAGUUGGACUCAGGAAUCAGGUUGAAACAAAAAACGCAAAGGACUCUUUGCGUUUCAUUUCAUUGA
rnacentral:rRNA from 1 species